UACAGAGGGUGCAAGCGUUGCUCGGAAUCAUUGGGCGUAAAGGGUAGGUAGGUGGUCUCAUUUGUCUGGGGUGAAAGCCUCGAGCUUAACUCGAGAAGUGCCCCGGAAACGGUGAGACUGGAGUCUUGGAGAGGGUCGUGGAAUUCCCGGUGUAGCGGUGAAAUGCGUAGAGAUCGGGAGGAACACCAGAGGCGAAGGCGGCGACCUGGACAGAUCCUGACACUGAGGCACGAAGGCCAGGGGAGCAAACGGG
rnacentral:rRNA from 1 species